AGGUUCUUUCUGCGAGAUGAUUUCAUGGUAUGGGAAUAAGACUUGGUGGUCUAAUACAGCUAAUAUGUAGGUUAGCAUCACAGCUUGUCCAUAAGGAUUAAGGCUGAAAAUGGCCAUUGGAGCUGACUUUUAUGGUAACUUCAACUGUGGCUGAUUAAAAUUAUGGUGCGAUGUAACUGAAACAGUAAAGAAUGUAAUUCAGACAAUUUUUGUGUAUGUUUUAAAAAAUGUUCAUAAUUUUUUUACAAAAAAAAUAAUGUGUAAGGAUUCUCCAUUUUCAACAUGAUUGGAAGUUGUAGGCAAACUUGAUAGUUCAGAUCCUAUUGAUUAUUUUUUCCCCCUGUGACUAGAUUUAAUUGAUACUUUGAAAAUGAAAGGAAACGGACAAUUUGACAAUUUUACUUGUAGUCCUACUUAAGAUAUCUUAAUAGUGGUCCAUGUGUAGUCAAAACAUUUCCAAUAGGUUUAGAAUGGAGAAUCUAAAAAAAAAAAAAAGAAAAAAGAAAACAAAAUGUUAUUUUAUUGAAAUGUAUUUUUUGGGUUUCCUGAAUUGUUAGAUUUUUUUCCAACUUUUUGUUAUUUUUAGCAGUGUUUUUAGCUAAAAAAAAAAUAAAGAUUAUUUCACAAGAAGCAUAGUAAAGAAACAUCUUGGUGAAAAAAGGAUUGAUUGAUUUUUGGUGUUAAAUGCCACUUUUAGGAAGAUUGGUGGCCAUUUUUGUAUAGGUUGAGGAAGUCGGAGUAAUGGGAGAAAACCACCUAGGCCUCUAGGUGAAAAUUAAUAUACUAAAUAUGUUAUUAAAAUGUUUUGGAUUUUUUAUAUCAAAUUAUUUUUUAAAUUUAGUUAUACCAUUUUUGUUUUUUUGUUAAAUAUAGCAAUGAUGUGGAGUCCCAACAGGGUGAAAUUUAGGGCAAAGGGAGGUAAUUUAUUAUACCCCUGUUGAACUCCUCAUUCUUGAAAUUUCCUCAAUGUUAGGGAAUGUAUAACUUUAUUUACUUGAAUUUCACAUUUGUAUAAGUUUUUGCAUUAAUAUCAGAUGUAUACUAGCUAAUAUUGACUGUUAUUUAGAGCUCUGUGAAUAAAAAAUGUAAACAGAGCUCUAGAUAAUAGAUAUGAAGGGUGGGAGAAAUCAUGGGUCACUUCGGGUAGAAGUGAUUUGGUGAAAUUUUCAAAAUAGGUGAUUAAUUGAAAGUGCAUCUGAUAUUUUUUAUAUAUAUAACUUUAUUUCUAUAAACAAAUGGACCAAAAAAAAAUAGAUUGACAAUAAGAUGAUGAUAGCCACCCUGGCCGCCAGGAGAGCGAAAAAAAAAUAGAUUGACAAUAAGAUGACAGCCACCCUGGCCACCAGGAGAGCAGCUCCAAGGAAGAUGGUCAAUUAAAUCUUCAACCAAGUUUGAGGCCUUACCAUGAAAAAUA